UACGUAGGGGGCAAGCGUUGUCCGGAAUCAUUGGGCGUAAAGCGCGUGUAGGCGGUUCGAUAAGUCUGCUGUGAAAGUCCAGGGCUCAACCCUGGGAUGCCGGUGGAUACUGUCGGACUAGAGUACGGAAGAGGCGAGUGGAAUUCCCGGUGUAGCGGUGAAAUGCGCAGAUAUCGGGAGGAACGCCAAUUGCGAAGGCAGCUCGCUGGGACGUCACUGACGCUGAGACGCGAAAGCGUGGGGAGCAAACAGG
rnacentral:rRNA from 1 species